GGGAGAUCAGUCAGACCAGUGUAUCAUUCUUAGAUAUCCUUGUAUCAAUCAAUGGUAACAACCCACCGGGCACACGACGUUGUUUCAACGUUGAAAUUUGGUAGAAAAAAGGUUGCGACGUCGACAACCUAAUAUCUACGUUGCUCUGACGUUGUUUUACAAACAUUGGUUCAACAGCAGCCAACAGACGUUGAAUUAAGGUUCAUUCAUGGUUAAAUGUACGACGUCGAUUUGUGAACCAAUCUCAACGUUGUUUUAACGUGGAUUCAACGUUGAAUUAUGGUUGACGAGAUUGGCAACCUAAUUUCAACGUUGUUUCAACGUCGAAACAGUAACGUCGAUCCAAUUUGCAUAGUCAACCCUUUUUCAACGUCUAUCCAACGUCUGGAAGAUCAUUUCCAACGUUGAUUCAACGUUGGAUAAACGUCAUUUUGCCCGCUGGGAAAUUAUCUACUUCUGUGUUCUACAAGCCCACUGACUCCCAUAGCUAUCUUCUGUUUUCCUCUUCCCACCCCAACCACACCAAAAGGUCGAUUCCCUUUUCUCAGCUCCUUCGUCUUCGCCGCAUCUGCAGUGAAGACGAAGAUUUUCAGGCCAAAAGUCUGGAGAUGAGACACUUUUUUG